rnacentral:rRNA from 1 species
AGAGAGCUUGCUGCUCUGAUUCAGCGGCGGACGGGUGAGUAAUGCCUAGGAAUCUGCCUAUUAGUGGGGGACAACGUUUCGAAAGGAACGCUAAUACCGCAUACGUCCUACGGGAGAAAGCAGGGGACCUUCGGGCCUUGCGCUAAUAGAUGAGCCUAGGUCGGAUUAGCUAGUUGGUGAGGUAAUGGCUCACCAAGGCGACGAUCCGUAACUGGUCUGAGAGGAUGAUCAGUCACACUGGAACUGAGACACGGUCCAGACUCCUACGGGAGGCAGCAGUGGGGAAUAUUGGACAAUGGGCGAAAGCCUGAUCCAGCCAUGCCGCGUGUGUGAAGAAGGUCUUCGGAUUGUAAAGCACUUUAAGUUGGGAGGAAGGGCAUUAACCUAAUACGUUAGUGUUUUGACGUUACCGACAGAAUAAGCACCGGCUAACUUCGUGCCAGCAGCCGCGGUAAUACGAAGGGUGCAAGCGUUAAUCGGAAUUACUGGGCGUAAAGCGCGCGUAGGUGGUUUGUUAAGUUGGAUGUGAAAGCCCCGGGCUCAACCUGGGAACUGCAUCCAAAACUGGCAAGCUAGAGUAUGGCAGAGGGUGGUGGAAUUUCCUGUGUAGCGGUGAAAUGCGUAGAUAUAGGAAGGAACACCAGUGGCGAAGGCGACCACCUGGGCUAAUACUGACACUGAGGUGCGAAAGCGU